rnacentral:rRNA from 1 species
AUGGGCACCGAGACGUUCGUCACCGACGUGGCCUUCGAGGACGACGUGAUCAGCACCACCGUCACGUCCUCCGGCGACGCCGUGGUGGCCUGGCUGCGCAGGAUCCGCCACGCCUACCGGUGGGUGUACCACAAGCUCAUCGUGGGGCUGGACGUGGAGUGGCGCCCCAGCUUCUGCCGCGUGCACAACCGCGUCGCGCUCCUGCAGCUCUGCGUCGGCCGCCGCUGCCUCAUCUUCCCGCUCCUCCACGCGGACUACGUUCCGCGGGCCCUGGAGAGCUUCCUAGCCGACCGGGACUUCCGCUUCGUCGGCGUGGGCGUGCAGGACGACGCCAACCGCCUCAGCAACGACCACGGCCUCGUGGUCAACAACACCGUCGACCUGCGCGGCCUCGCGGCUGACGGGAUGGGCAGGCCGUGGCUCCGCCAGGCCGGGCUCAAGGACAUCAUGGGCGCCGUCAUGGGGGCCAACCUGAAGAAGCCGCAGCGUGUGAGGACGGGAGCAUGGGACGCCCACCGCUUCUCCCAUGAGCAGAUCAAGUACGCCUGCAUCGACGCGUUCGUCUCCUUUGAGGUGGGCCGGAAGCUCCUCACCGGUGACUACUCCUGCUCCUCCUCCUCUGAUGAUGAUGAGGAAGAGGAGGAGGAAGAAGAUGACUCCUACUCCUCUGAUGAGUAUGGCUCCUCUGAGGAGGACUACUGA